AGUGAACGCUGGCGGUAGGCCUAACACAUGCAAGUCGAACGGCAGCACAGUAAGAGCUUGCUCUUACGGGUGGCGAGUGGCGGACGGGUGAGGAAUACAUCGGAAUCUACUUUUUCGUGGGGGAUAACGUAGGGAAACUUACGCUAAUACCGCAUACGACCUACGGGUGAAAGCAGGGGAUCUUCGGACCUUGCGCGAUUGAAUGAGCCGAUGUCGGAUUAGCUAGUUGGCGGGGUAAAGGCCCACCAAGGCGACGAUCCGUAGCUGGUCUGAGAGGAUGAUCAGCCACACUGGAACUGAGACACGGUCCAGACUCCUACGGGAGGCAGCAGUGGGGAAUAUUGGACAAUGGGCGCAAGCCUGAUCCAGCUUUACCGCGUGGGUGAAGAAGGCCUUCGGGUUGUAAAGCCCUUUUGUUGGGAAAGAAAAGCAGCAGGUUAAUACCCCGCUGUUCUGACGGUACCCAAAGAAUAAGCACCGGCUAACUUCGUG
rnacentral:rRNA from 1 species